rnacentral:rRNA from 1 species
UUACGGGAGGCAGCAGUGGGGAAUAUUGGACAAUGGGCGCAAGCCUGAUCCAGCCAUGCCGCGUGAGUGAUGAAGGCCCUAGGGUUGUAAAGCUCUUUCGCCAGGGACGAUAAUGACGGUACCUGGAUAAGAAGCCCCGGCUAACUUCGUGCCAGCAGCCGCGGUAAUACGAAGGGGGCUAGCGUUGUUCGGAAUCACUGGGCGUAAAGCGCACGUAGGCGGAUCUUUAAGUCAGGGGUGAAAUCCCGAGGCUCAACCUCGGAACUGCCUUUGAUACUGGAGGUCUCGAGUCCGGGAGAGGUGAGUGGAACUGCGAGUGUAGAGGUGAAAUUCGUAGAUAUUCGCAAGAACACCAGUGGCGAAGGCGGCUCACUGGCCCGGAACUGACGCUGAGGUGCGAAAGCGUGGGGAGCAAACAGGAUUAGAUACCCGGGUAGUCC